UACGUAGGGUGCAAGCGUUAUCCGGAUUCACUGGGUUUAAAGGGUGUGUAGGCGGGUAUUUAAGUCAGUGGUGAAAUCUCCGAGCUUAACUUGGAAACUGCCAUUGAUACUAUUUAUCUUGAAUUCUGUUGAGGUGGGCGGAAUAUGUCAUGUAGCGGUGAAAUGCAUAGAUAUGACAUAGAACACCAAUUGCGAAGGCAGCUGGCUACACAAAUAUUGACGCUGAGGCACGAAAGCGUGGGGAUCAAACAGG
rnacentral:rRNA from 1 species